GACAGCAAGCUGGCUGUGACAUGUCAACCCCACUGAUUGCCAGAAUUGAUUUGCUGGAUCUGCCCUGUUAAGAUGGUGUCCCAUUUCUUCCUGGCUCUGCCACAUGUGUUUUUCCAAAAUCUGGACACUUUACUGGAGAGGAUGAUUUUUCUAGAUAGAGAAAGACCACGGUCUACAGA
rnacentral:snRNA from 1 species